GACGAACGCUGGCGGCGUGCUUAACACAUGCAAGUCGAACGAUGAACCCUAGCUUGCUGGGGGGAUUAGUGGCGAACGGGUGAGUAACACGUGAGUAACCUGCCCUUGACUCUGGGAUAAGCGUUGGAAACGACGUCUAAUACCGGAUAGGACUCCUGGCCGCAUGGUCUGGGGGUGGAAAGAUUUUUUGGUCAAGGAUGGACUCGCGGCCUAUCAGGUUGUUGGUGAGGUAAUGGCUCACCAAGCCGACGACGGGUAGCCGGCCUGAGAGGGUGACCGGCCACACUGGGACUGAGACACGGCCCAGACUCCUACGGGAGGCAGCAGUGGGGAAUAUUGCACAAUGGGCGCAAGCCUGAUGCAGCAACGCCGCGUGAGGGACGACGGCCUUCGGGUUGUAAACCUCUUUUAGUAGGGAAGAAGCGACUGAAUUUAUUCUGAGUGACGGUACCUGCAGAAAAAGCACCGGCUAACUACGUGCCAGCCGCCGCGGUAAAAC
rnacentral:rRNA from 1 species